UUUGUGUAGCUGUCGGCUACUGGCGGCUGUUUCGACGUGCUCUUCUGGUCCUCGCUUGUGGAGGAGAGGAGGGCGGUGGUGGCUGCCGCCACAGUGCCGAGGAAGUGCCCGCUGGCUUUCCUAUCUGAGAGGGCUGGAGGAGAGCUGGCAGAGGCCUUUGCAUUACUCUCUGCAUUACUCUCUGCAGUGGCACCUCAGCUUCGCGGGGCUGGAGGCCAAAGCAGGGGGAAGCUGAUCUGCAGCCCACUCCAUUACAGUUCUAAGUUCUACAUGAUGAAAUAUCUGGUGUUUGGAAUUCCUUUUUGAAGUUCUCAAUAGUUGGAUGCAGAAACCUGUGUGAAAAUAUCCACUUUCAAAUUCAGAUUUGUCUCAGGAUCAAUUUUUUGAACACUCACAAUGUUGGAAAACAUCUAUGAACCAGCUCUCUCCAGCCUUUGGAAGUCUGGCUGAAGGUAGUUAGAAAUGCAGAUGAUGCUUGAUUAAGAACACUGGUUGUCCAACUCUCUUUCUUCAGAGUAAUAGAGCACCAAGAACGUUGGUGAUUUCUUGUAGCGUCUUUUCUGGAUUUGGCGGCUGAAGAAAUUGAUAUAUGCCCAUUGGAAUUUGUGAAAGUCUUUGCAGAGAUUUUAGCCUACGGCAGACUGGGCCUAAAGGAAGCAGUCCCCAAAGAGACAGAGCCUGCAGCUGUGAAUUUAAAUGUGUAGUAGGAAAUGUCAGAUUGCAGAUCCAGAAGAAAAGGCAUGCACUGAAGACUAGGGGAAUUUCUGCCCUAAGAUCUAUCAACUAUUUUCAGAACCAUGAAGCAGAGAGCUGUUUAUGUUUGUUACUACUUUUUAAUUCCUGUUGGCAGUGACAUGCAGACUAUGAAAUGUGUUAGGCUUGAUUUACAUAAAUCAGAAGGUUGUCAGCAUCUUCCCUUUAGAUGUCUAUGUUGCCUUAAAAUCCAAACUGAUGACCUCAUUGUAACACAAAUAAAUAGUGUUGGUAAAUGUUAUUAUAAAUUUCUUCUAUUACUGAACGUACAGAUGGAAAUGCAAAGUUAAAAUUUGUGAUAUUUUCUUACAUACACUAUGCUUUGUUACCAGUCUUCCAUAUUUUUGAAACAUUGUUUUUCCAUUAUCAAAAAAGGAUGGAUUCUGUUUUUUUUUUACAGUGCUUGAUCAUAUUCACUUAAUUUGGUCUUUUGUUGAAAAUAGAAUUUCCUUAUUGGUAGAUCCCUUUGUAUCAAUAC